CCUACGGGGGACAGCAGUGGGGAAUAUUGGUCAAUGGGCGCAAGCCUGACCCAGCAACGCCGCGUGAAGGAAGAAGGCUCUCGGGUUGUUAACCUCUUUUGUCAGGGAAGAGUAGAAGACGGUACCUGACGAAUAAGCCUCGGCUAACUACGUGCCAGCAGCAGCGGUAAUACGUAGGUGGCAGGCGUUGUCCGGAUUUACUGGGUGUAAAGGGCGUGUAGCCGGGUUGACAAGUCAGAUGUGAAAUCCUGCGGCUUAACCGCGGAACUGCAGUUGAAACUGUGGAUCUCGAGUACUGGAGAGGCAGGUGGAAUGCCUAGUGUAGCGGUGAAAUGCGUAGAUAUUAGGCGGAACACCGGUGGCGAAGGCAGUCUGCUGGACCGCAACUGACGGUGAGGCGCGAAAGCGUGGGGAUCGAACAGGAUUAGAUACCCUAGUAGUC
rnacentral:rRNA from 1 species